rnacentral:rRNA from 1 species
CUACGGGAGGCACCAGUGGGGAAUAUUGCACAAUGGGGGAAACCCUGAUGCAGCAACGCCGCGUGGAGGAUGACGCAUUUCGGUGUGUAAACUCCUUUUAUAUAGGAAGAUAAUGAUGGUACUAUAUGAAUAAGCACCGGCUAACUCCGUGCCAGCAGCCGCGGUAAUACGGAGGGUGCAAGCGUUACUCGGAAUCACUGGGCGUAAAGCGCGCGCAGGCGGCCCCUUAAGUUGGAUGUGAAAGCCUACGGCUUAACCGUAGAACUGCAUCCAAAACUGAGGGGCUAGAGUCUGGGAGGGGAAGAUGGAAUUAGUUGUGUAGGGGUAAAAUCCGUAGAGAUAACUAGGAAUACCAAAAGCGAAGGCGAUCUUCUGGAACAGUACUGACGCUGAGGCGCGAAAGCGUGGGGAGCAAACAGGAUUAGAUACCCUAGUAGUC